rnacentral:rRNA from 1 species
GGCUCCCAGUAGACGACUGGGUUGAUAGGCCGGAUGUGGAAGCCCAGUAAUGGGUGGAGCUGACCGGUACUAAUAGGCCGAGGGCUUGUCCUC